rnacentral:rRNA from 1 species
CCUACGGGAGGCAGCAGUGAGGAAUAUUGGUCAAUGGGCGCUAGCCUGAACCAGCCAAGUAGCGUGAAGGAUGACUGCCCUAUGGGUUGUAAACUUCUUUUAUAUGGGAAUAAAGUGCAGCAUGUAUACUGCUUUGCAUGUACCUUAUGAAUAAGGAUCGGCUAACUCCGUGCCAGCAGCCGCGGUAAUACGGAGGAUCCGAGCGUUAAUCGGAUUUACUGGGCGUAAAGCGCGCGUAGGUGGUAUGUCAAGUCAAGGGUGAAAUCCCCGCGCUCAACGGGGGAACUGCCUUUGAAACUGGCAAACUGGAGUAUGUGUGAGGAUAGUGGAAUUCCAGGUGUAGGAGUGAAAUCCGUAGAUAUCAGGAGGAACAUCAGUGGCGAAGGCGACUAACUGGCACAUAACUGACACUGAGGAGCGAAAGUGUGGGUAGCAAACAGGAUUAGAUACCCCUGUAGUC